GUACAACUCAGUUUGUCAUCGAGAAUAUGUGGGCUACAUUUUAAGGCGGAGGAAAUAAAAGAAUCUCCCCUUAAAAGAAGACGACUAAGCCCCGAUGCAGUACUAUCAUUAAACUUACUUCCCAAUCUUCAAGAAAAAAAGUCUCAAGACAAACUUGUUUGCGCGAAAAUGAAAGAACUAUAUGAAAGAAUUAUAUUAACUAUUAUAAUUUAAAGAGUCGCAUAAACAUCUGUAUCAUACUUCAUGUUGAGUGAAAAAUUCAUAUGAAUACCUCUUAUAUGCUCCGCUUGAGAAGAGGUGUAAGGUUGGAGUCACCGUGUAAGGUUGUAGUCAGUUGAAAACUUUAAACGCGUUUUCUGGCGAAUCGAAUUUUUUGACUUAUGCCGGUCUUGCAGCAAAUGAGCGAUAUAUAGUUACAAUAAAAUUUGUGAAUAAUGUUGCAUUUAUACACGUAUGUAAUUGUUUGUAAAAUAAAUAUGAAUUCAUUAUAACGUUGAGAGCAAAUAAAUUGGUUGUCUCUAUUCCUA